rnacentral:lncRNA from 10 species
CAUAAGGCCACGUCACUUCUUGCGUAAUAUCUAAGCGUGAAGGUUGGGUAAAAUUAGCUGGAACUUCUCACAGUCCAUUAAUAAAGCUUUAAAUGUGACACAUGUGUUGUUAUCCUCUUCCAACAGGGCACACCCAGACAGAAGACAAAGAAGGCUGAAGAAGUAAGAGUGAGAAACCGAGAGGGUGGCGUCGGACCCCUGUCAGAGAGUAAAUCUCAAGUAAGGUACCUGCCAUCGGCAGAUUUGAGCUUUCUUCUUGGACACCUAAUACCCACAGUCCUCCAGGCUCCGGUAGACUGCAAAUGACCUGCUUUCUUUCUGUUCCCGGGCUGCGUUUGGACCCCUGUCGGACAGUAAAUCCCAAGUAAGGUACCUGCCCUCGGCAGAUUUGAGCUUUCUUCUUGGACACCUAAUACCCACAGUCCUCCAGGAUAACUUCAGGAAGUGGGUAUUAAUUCUCACGGUAUAAGUGAAGACAUUAAGCACCAGAGUUUAAGUAGCUUGAUCCACUGAAAGAGAUUCAACUGUGUGGAACCUAUGCCGUGGAGAAUUGCUUUCUGCCAUUGUUAUCGUCCAGCAGUUGCCGAAUAGCUCUGACCUGAGCAAAGCAGUGAAACGCGGUGCUGUUGAGUGGGUUGCCACUGCAC